AAUGAACGCUGGCGGCGUGCUUAACACAUGCAAGUCGAACGAGAAAGGGAUUGCUUGCAAUCCUGAGUAGAGUGGCGCACGGGUGAGUAACACGUAGAUAAUCUACCUUCAAGCCUGGGAUAACUAUUCGAAAGGGUAGCUAAUACCGGAUAAAGUUUAUUAUUAUAAGAUAAUUUAUGAAAGAUUGCCUCUUCUUGAAAGCAAUUGUUUGGAGAUGAGUCUGCGUACCAUUAGCUAGUUGGUAGGGUAAUGGCCUACCAAGGCAACGAUGGUUAGCUGGUCUGAGAGGAUGAUCAGUCACACUGGAACUGGAACACGGUCCAG
rnacentral:rRNA from 1 species